UGCAGCCUUCUGGCAAGUCUCGCGUGUGUGUGUGUGGAGCGAAACGCAUAGAUAUAUCCACACACCCACCCAUAUUGGUGCAUAGGCGUGGGCUGGUAUCCAUAGUGCCUCUGCUUGAUUCGUGUAGCCAUGCGGCGUGUGCAGCGCACCCCUCUGCGCCUUGGCGCGCUCGUCGUGUCACGACGGACCAUUAUACCGGGCCACAUCCCCACCGAGGGCCCCGGCCCCAACGGCAGCAGCCACGGCUGGGAGAUGCGUCGCGGCCACCAUCUGCAGAGUAGCGUUGGCCUGCAUACUCCCAUCAAGACAGCUUGCGGCCGCGAGUUUAACCCACAGGUCUACUAUGAGGUGCUGCAGGCUUGCUGCGAUCAGCAGUGGCUGGUCGCCAUCCAGCGAGAGCUAAGGACGGACACCGAGUAUGUCAACUACCUGCGCCAACACGGUGGGGCCGCGAAGGACAUGCGAAUGCUCACCGACAGUGUGCAGCACGACGACGAGUUCAUGGCCAGGCUGAAGGAGAAGCUCAAGACGGAUGAGAAAAUGUCACUAACGCUGUGCGCAGUGCAGGAUAGCUACAUGCGCAUUCGCAAGAAGCGCGACCUUCAUGAAACGCAGGUGGCGGCGGACGGCGGCCGGGACCCGUAUACCUCCCUGAAGGCGAGCCGCAAGGGCGACUUUGGCUCUCAGAUGCCCCAGUUUUAGCCCGCCCGGCAGGGGAGCGGAAGUGGGCAAACGGAUGCGGAUUAGCUGAUGUGAUGGUGUGCGUGUUCUGCUUUUCGGUGCCGGUGCCUUGUCAGAAUGUCUUUCACUGUGCGAGAAUGUGCACCUCCCAUCCCCGCCAGGGGGUUCGCGAAGAGCCCACAACCAAAAGCAGGUGCGUGCCGUGCGAAGCGUUUGCUUGGAGCGCGAUAGAGGAGUGCAAGGGGCGGGUAGGGAGUAAGGAACGAGGGAGGCGGUCACACCCAUGCGCAAAUGCGGAGGCCUACACAGGUGUGCGUACCAGCGCGUGUGCCGGAGGAGAGAGCACAAGCCGCGGCAAGCAGUGCACUUGUCGAGUGCUUUGAGGCAUCCCAGGAUAGGCUUGGGCGACGGGCGCCUCGUUUUGUUGUUUUCACAUGACUUUCGGAUGUGUUCCGGUUGGGGCGUGCGCUUGCAUGCCUGUCUGCCCUUGUGUGUGUGUGUGUGCAUUUCGCUUCUCUCCGUCUCCCUCCGAGCCCUCCCCCCCGCCCUAGCCGCCAACGCCACCACUGCCGCCGCCUCGCCUUCUCCAUUGUCCCUCUCUCCGCGCCAGAGUGCCCUUGGCAGCGUUUCUCUGUGCAUUCUUCGACAUUUCUUUUAGUGCGCUUCAUUCCCCCCCCUCCCCCUCCUUUUGCGGUGUUGCCCUGCUGCUCCCCUUUUCUGUUUCUCUUCGCUUGGCCCUGCACGAGGCAAG
rnacentral:misc_RNA from 1 species